rnacentral:lncRNA from 1 species
ACUAUUUGAAUGUGUGUUGCUCCUUGUGGCAGGUAUACUGUUCCAAUGCCCUGGGAUCUCUGUAGUGGUCGGUACUGUAUUGAUUAUAAAUGGUGAAGUCCUAGUAUCUUGCUAGAGUGAGCUGGCCAGGAUGGUGGAGCUCUACCACCAUUUCACAGGUUAUAGACAGGGGCCACCAGGUUUCAGGAAAGCAGCAAUGACCCCUCAGUAAUAGUUGGAAAGUGUGAUAUGACACUGAGCUUCACUGUGUUGGUGAAGAAGAGCUGCAGUUUGCCUCCACCUCUGAAGAAGCACAAUACACCUUUCUGGGUUACCAAUGGGAUACUUCCCAACAGCUUUGUCAUCACAUACAAUAUUCUCAAACAAGAUCUUAAUGGCAUCUACUUUCUCCAGGAACACAGCCCCUGACCUGUGUGUGUUUGCGUAGAGAAGGCAUGCUAUGUACCCCCUAGGAUAUGAAUCUGCCCACCACUCAAGCCUGGGAAAGCUGGCAGAGGAUGCACGUGUUUUACUCACCUGAGUGUUUACAAUGCUCGUGAGGUGCCUCCCUGAUAUUUUUAUAGCAGAAUGGAGAAACACAACCAAGGAGAUACACCUAAGUAACAACAGCAAUGAUGUCAAAAAGAGUGCCUGAAUACUUAGGGUGGAGGUCCUGGACAUGCAAACCCAAGCUUCCUCUUUGCUGUGGCCAGGAAUCUGCAGUGAUUGAGAGCACAGACUGUAUCUAAAAUUCCACCUUUCAAAGUUCAGCAUAUUACUUUUUUUUUUCUUACACCUAUAAGUACAGAGGAAUGAAGAAGGAAUAAACAGACCUUCUGGAUAAUUGCAUCAGCCUUCCCCACUAUUCCAAUGCCAUGCUAACAUUUCAAGUAAUGUCCCUUUUGUCUUGCUGAGAAAAAAUCAUUUCAUGAUUUAUUACACUGGAUUAAAGGCUAUGCACACUCUGGAGUUGGAACAUGACUGAAGGGCAAGCAAGCAUAAAGGAUAUCAGAAACAGUUGAUGUGUUUAAAUUUUUCUGAAUUUCUCAAGUAAACUUUUUAGAAAGUAGUCUGAAGAUAAAAUGGUUAUAUAAGUUACUUAAACUGUAGAUGAUGGCACCUUUAUCCCUAUAUAAUAAAAUUAAGAUUUGUAGGUUAAACCUUGGAUAUUCCCAUCUGAGCAUCUGUACCAAACAGAAAAGACCUGUGUGAGUUCCUGAGAACCAGUGCUCAUUCCAGAAGAGACAGGUUUCUCUCCAGGAAGAAAUGUCUGAAAUUCAGUGAAUUAAAAUCCUCAUUGAGUCUUCCUACUCUUUACUUCUCCCUGGAAAAACUGGUUACGAAAAUUUAAUAUUCUGUCAUGAUAAGAUCAAGCUCUAUCAGAUCAGCCAUACAUAUCAAGUACAUUUUGACAAACUUGAUUCAUACUGUUUUCAAAUUAUGAACAACCAAGGCUCUUCUAUCCAAAAAUAUUGAUUAUUUAAUUCUGAAUAUCAUUACAGAGCAGUAAUAUGCUCUCA